AGUGAACGCUGGCGGUAGGCCUAACACAUGCAAGUCGAACGAGUGGCGGACGGGUGAGGAAUACCUGGGAAACUGCUCUGUCGUGGGGGAUAACGUCGGGAAACGUACGCUAAUACCGCAUACGAUUGGAUGAGCCCAGGUCGGAUUAGCUAGUUGGGGGGGUAAAGGCCCACCAAGGCGACGAUCCGUAGCUGGUCUGAGAGGAUGACCAGCCACACUGGAACUGAGACACGGUCCAGACUCCUACGGGAGGCAGCAGUGGGGAAUAUUGCACAAUGGGCGCAAGCCUGAUGCAGCCAUACCGCGUGUGUGAAGAAGGCCUUCGGGUUGUAAAGUCCUUUUGGUGGGAAAGCGGUACUCAAAGAAUAAGCACCGGCUAACUUCGUGCCAGCAGCCGCGGUAAUAC
rnacentral:rRNA from 1 species